UAAUGUUUACAGUCUCCAUUUAUUUGGUUUUUAUUUUAAGACAAUUCUCUUUCAUUUAAAGAUGUAUUUAAAUAAGUAGUGUAGCUCAGUUCCAUUCAUUCCCUGCCAGACCAUCAAAGUUGCCAUGUAUCUAACGCCUUUGUUUCAAGCCAGAACCGGAACCUAACCCCGUACCUUUGCCUGCCUGCCAAUAAGUCUUUGAUUUUCAAUAAGCCACUAAAAUUAGCCUGUCCAUCUUACCUAUAUGCAUAUGGCUGCUAAUUGCUAUUGACUGCUUAGAUAAUAGGAGGAAAACAUACAGAAAUUAGAUAACACAUAUGCUAAUUCUCUGUGGACAGUUUAAUUCACUAAAAUGUCACUAAAUGUCAAUACUGAAAUUUGAAUAAUUACAUAAAAUUUUGUUGAAUCUAGGUGAAAAAUCUGAUUACUGAACAAACAACCCUGUCUCCCUGAAAAAUCAGUUGUAAUUUGCAACAGCCCAUAAUAGCCAGCAUAAGUGCCACAUGUGACCUUUAGCCACAGCUUUUUUGAGUACCAGUGGUCUGGCAUUUCUGGCAACUCCAAAAUUCAAGCAAUUUGAUUGACAGGUCCGGGUGUUCUCCAGUAUGUUGCCCUUUGUUUUCACCUUAUAUCAGGAGCAGCUACAGUAGAUGAGAAGUAAAAUCAUAAAAUGCUAGAAUCUGGUAAAGCAAGUUCCAUUUACCCAAAAUCUGUAGAUACAUUCCUUAAUAAGUUGAAAUUCAGUUUAACUGUAAAGUUUACAGUUUGACAGUUUAACAGCAAGGUGGACCCUGGAAAAGAUGCCAGAAGUUCUGUUUACAUUAAGUCUAUAUGCAGAGGCUUAAAAUGGAGGCAAAAAAUUAAAUGCUCAUGCUGUAUAUCAUAAUCUCAUCUUGAAUACUAGGAAGUUUCCUGGCGUAGCAUGUUUAUGUAUUGAAAAAGUAAAUGCCUUACUUGUAUUCUUUUAUUUCAUAAAGCACAAAAUACUUGACUAAUACAUCAAAUUUAUAUGAUUAAGAUGUGCACAAUGACCGCUUCAUUGUUUUAGCUUUUUAACCAUUUCUGAGUUAUUCAUUUCUACAAAAAAAUCUAACUUCGGCCUGUGAUUCUGAUGAAUUCUCAUGUCACAUGAGGGGUUUUCUGAACAGGUGUAGUGUUCCACUGAUAUAUCUCUCUUGUGUAUCUUACCUGUCUAUCACACAUGUAUUUUUCAUGUAUCUGUCAGACUUCUUUAUCCCCAUGCUAGUCCACAGGCCUUCCAAUUCCAGGAUGUGCAGCUCUUUCUCCACAGCAACAGCUAAGUCUUUGUGACACAAAUCAAGCCACCUGGAGGGAAAAGACGUGAAAAUCGAUAGGACUGUUUGUUUUAGUGGACUUUGCAUCACCUGCGUGAUUUGAUGUGGCAAACAUAUUAGGUUCUCUUAAUACAAAUCCCAGUGAUACAUUUAAAUGUAACUUUAAACACAUUUAAAAUGUAUUUUAAAUAUGUCCAUUGUAUCUAAAACGGCGCAUGUACAUGUGACCCAGUGAUAAUACAGGGUUAAAAAAAACUUAUUAAAUUUAUACAAAAAGUAUAAAAUAACGUAAUGUCACUUUAAAAACAUCAGCCAAUCAGAAACAAUAUUUCCCCCUCCCAGCUGAACUUGAUUGACAGGUCAGGACGCAACUGCGUGACCCUGCGCGCGUGUGUCUAUGGUGUGUACGUGAGAAAGAGAGAGAAGAGGACCACGCAUGAUGGCAAACAGAGGAAAGUAACAGAAUUAAAGUUAACAGUGUGUUAAAAGUGAGUAUAUUAGCAAGGUAACAAACCAUCACAGAAGAUAGGAUAAGGAGAAGCAACCGGGAGUCGGAAAAUCUUGUUUCCCACCUCUGUUUGUGUCGAUCAGAUAUUAUGGACAGAGAGAGAACUACCACGAAGAUCCCUUUCUAUUGAUGGCGAGCCUCCCAGUGUGAUCUUGAAGAGAAGCAGGUCGACUCAGUGAAUACUCCAUUUGGUGGUAGGACAGUACCAGUUGCUGAGCUGCUACAUACAAUUCAACUGCCAACUUUCCUUUUAAAAGAGGAAACUUUAACAGAACUGGUGACAAACAUUUUAGAGAGCUCAAUAGUUCAGAGAAGGAUUGACUGUGGAUUGGCCAAUACAAAAAGUGAUCACAAAACAGACAGACUUAAAUGACUAUAAAAGGAAAAACCCAAAGACUCAUUUAUUUUAAAGGGCCUAAUUUUUUUUUUCGCCAUACAUGUUAUGCAAUUGACCCUUCGCUAAGCCACGCCCCAAAUAUGUAGCUGUCAUUAUGCUUUACAAAUAUUGUAAAUCAACGCAUUUAUUGUUUAAAUUACCAAAAAUCA